rfam:Dietzia timorensis strain ID05-A0528, complete genome.
GGGGCUGAUGUGGUUUCGACUGUGUGAGUUGACGUAGGGGAAGCGUGCCGGUGCAGGCCAGAGACCACCGUUAAGCGUCAUGGCAACCAAUUAAGCGCCGAUAACAAUCAGCGCGACUUCGCACUCGCUGCCUAAUCAGCGACUGCAAGUCUGUCAGCCCGGGGUCGCCCUCGCCCCGGUUCCUGGCAUCAGCUAGAGGGAUUACCGUUCGAGUUGGUCACGGGCUCGUUCGGGACAUCUCACAGUGACUGGGAUCGCCUUCGCCGACUAGUUCGCGGGUUGGCGAGAUCCGAGUAACGGCAGUUAGCGAACUGCGCACGGAGAAGCCCUACCGAUGCUGCACAGGACCGGGGUUCAAUUCCCCGCAGCUCCACCG